GACGUAGGGCGCGAGCGUUGUCCGGAUUUAUUGGGCGUAAAGAGCUCGUAGGCGGCUUGUCGCGUCGACUGUGAAAUCCCGCGGCUCAACCGCGGGUCUGCAGUCGAUACGGGCAGGCUAGAGUUCGGUAGGGGAGACUGGAAUUCCUGGUGUAGCGGUGAAAUGCGCAGAUAUCAGGAGGAACACCGAUGGCGAAGGCAGAUCUCUGGGCCGUAACUGACGCUGAGGAGCGAAAGCGUGGGGAGCGAACAGG
rnacentral:rRNA from 1 species